rnacentral:rRNA from 1 species
GUGGGGAAUCUUGCGCAAUGGGCGAAAGCCUGACGCAGCCAUGCCGCGUGGAUGAUGAAGGUCUUAGGAUUGUAAAAUCCUUUCACCGGUGAAGAUAAUGACUGUAGCCGGAGAAGAAGCCCCGGCUAACUUCGUGCCAGCAGCCGCGGUAAUACGGAGGAUGCGAGUGUUAUCCGGAUUUAUUGGGUUUAAAGGGUGCGUAGGCGGACAGUUAAGUCAGCUGUUAAAGGACCAUGCUCAGCGUGGGAAAUGCAGUUGAAACUGACAGUCUAGAGAGUACAUAAGUCAGUUGGAAUUUGUGGUGUAGCGGUGAAAUGCAUAGAUAUCACGAAGAACACCGAUAGCGAAAGCAAGCUGCCGGGGUGCGUCUGACGCUGAGGCACGAAAGUGUGGGUAUCGAACAGGAUUAGAUACCCUUGUAGUCC